GAUUAACGCUGGCGGCGUGCUUAACACAUGCAAGUCGAACGAUGAAGCCGGAGCUUGCUCUGGUGAAUUAGUGGCGAACGGGUGAGUAACACGUGAGUAACCUGCCCUUGACUCUGGGAUAACUGCUAGAAAUGGUAGCUAAUACCGGAUACGACCCUCGGAGGCAUCUCCAGGGGGUGGAAAGAAUUUCGGUCAAGGAUGGACUCGCGGCCUAUCAGCUAGUUGGUGAGGUAAUGGCUCACCAAGGCGACGACGGGUAGCCGGCCUGAGAGGGUGAGCGGCCACACGGGGACUGAGACACGGCCCAGACUCCUACGGGAGGCAGCAGUGGGGAAUAUUGCACAAUGGGCGCAAGCCUGAUGCAGCAACGCCGCGUGAGGGAUGACGGCCUUCGGGUUGUAAACCUCUUUUAGUAGGGAAGAAGCGAAAGUGACGGUACCUGCAGAAAAAGCACCGGCUAACUACGUGCCAGCAGCCGCCGUAACAC
rnacentral:rRNA from 1 species